UGGGGAAUAUUGCACAAUGGGCGCAAGCCUGAUGCAGCCAUGCCGCGUGUAUGAAGAAGGCCUUCGGGUUGUAAAGUACUUUCAGCGGGGAGGAAGGGAGUAAAGUUAAUACCUUUGCUCAUUGACGUUACCCGCAGAAGAAGCACCGGCUAACUCCGUGCCAGCAGCCGCGGUAAUACGGAGGGUGCAAGCGUUAAUCGGAAUUACUGGGCGUAAAGCGCACGCAGGCGGUUUGUUAAGUCAGAUGUGAAAUCCCCGGGCUCAACCUGGGAACUGCAUCUGAUACUGGCAAGCUGGAGUCUGGUAGGGGGGGGGAGAAUUCCAGGUGUAGCGGUGAAAUGCGUAGAGAUCUGGAGGAAUACCGGUGGCGAAGGCGGCCCCCUGGACGAAGACUGACGCUCAGGUGCGAAAGCGUGGGGAGCAAACAGG
rnacentral:rRNA from 1 species